rnacentral:lncRNA from 1 species
ACUUACCUGACCAACAUAGUGAAUCAUAUUUUGAUUAGAUCACUUAAUGAUUGGAGUUGACCUAUGUUAACUAGAAAAUUAGUAUGACUGAUUUAGGUGUCCCUAGUUCAACUUAUCUUGAGUCCUCUUUAUGACUUGGUGAAGCCAGUAAGAUGAUUCAUGAUUGGUUGGCUAGACCAACUUAUGUCUAAUCUUCUUAAAUCUGA